AUUGAACGCUGGCGGCAUGCCUUACACAUGCAAGUCGAACGGCAGCACGGGGGGCAACCCUGGUGGCGAGUGGCGAACGGGUGAGUAACAUAUCGGAACGUGCCCUGGAGUGGGGGAUAACUAGUCGAAAGACUAGCUAAUACCGCAUACGAUCUACGGAUGAAAGUGGGGGAUCGCAAGACCUCAUGCUCGUGGAGCGGCCGAUAUCUGAUUAGCUAGUGGUGGGGUAAAGGCCUACCAAGGCAUCGAUCAGUAGCUGGUCUGAGAGGACGACCAGCCACACUGGGACUGAGACACGGCCCAGACUCCUACGGGAGGCAGCAGUGGGGAAUUUUGGACAAUGGGGCAACCCUGAUCCAGCAAUGCCGCGUGAGUGAA
rnacentral:rRNA from 1 species